UACGUAGGGCGCAAGCGUUGUCCGGAAUUAUUGGGCGUAAAGAGCUCGUAGGCGGCUUGUCACGUCGAUUGUGAAAGCCCGAGGCUUAACCUCGGGUCUGCAGUCGAUACGGGCUAGCUAGAGUGUGGUAGGGGAGAUCGGAAUUCCUGGUGUAGCGGUGAAAUGCGCAGAUAUCAGGAGGAACACCGGUGGCGAAGGCGGAUCUCUGGGCCAUUACGGACGCUGAGGAGCGAAAGCGUGGGGAGCGAACAGG
rnacentral:rRNA from 1 species